rnacentral:tRNA from 1 species
GCCUUCGUAGCUCAGCGGUAGAGCAUCGGACUCGAUAUCCGAAGGUGGUGGGUUCGGUUCCCAUCGAAGGCA